rnacentral:lncRNA from 1 species
AUUUCAAAUUCAAAAUUUAAAAUUCAAAAUUUUGACCCCGGUACCCAAAAUGUGUGGAACUCAUGAUCAGAGAAUCCUAAUUCUCAAUCAUAGAGUCCCAGACACAUAAGACUCAUAAUCAGCCAUCAGAUCAGAAAGAAACCUCUAAUGUGUGUGACCCCACAGGUUCGAACCUAAGCCGGUAGCACAGGAACCAAUUCCUGUACUAAUCGAAGUGACCAUCUAGCAAUGGUACCCGACAAUCGGAUAGGUCGAAUAGUCGUAAUCGCAACAUUCAGAACCUACGUGAAUAUGGUUAUCGUAUAAUUCAUCCCUUUUGACCCCUGUGUUUAGGACGACUCAGGGUUAAACUGUCAACCCUGAUGAAAUCAUCCGAAUCGUGCUCAACUCAAUUAGUCCUGUGACUCCUCAUUAGGACUAUCCUGGUCAAGAUUUUGCUAAAUUGAAACACGACUGUACACAGCUCCUAAACUGGAGUGGUCAAUCCCAUCUUGACACAUGUACCGACAAGUCAAGUACUUGACUACACCCAGCAGCCUUCCGUCACUGAAUUAGAAAUUUAGGUAGUCCAGUGCCUAAGUGCAGUGAGUUGCUUGCAAGUCACCGUGGCGGUCUCAGGUCGGAGGAACAUUUAUACCCAUAUCCCAUUGGAGCAAAUUUUGACAGCAGAAAUAGCUCCGGAGUCGAUCACGUUCAGUGCAGAUGUACCAUUACAUCUCACCUGUAUGCCAUAUCAGUGUCUCCACACUCCUUGGUUAUGAGGACAACCAACCCAUAUGGCACACAACGACCUAUGCUCGAUAAACAUUAUCGUCCUUGGUAACAACGUAUCAUUUGGUCGCGAACAGGUUUAAGGACUAAGCGACAAAUCUUCUUUUAUCGAGUCUAAAUAGUCCUAAGGACUUCACCAUAACACAGGAGUUCAUUAGAAGAUGAAACAUUUGUGAUGAAAAAAUACCAAAAUAAUUUUUAUUUAUUUAUAAUUCAUGUACUAAUACAAA